GGGCGGGUAGCUCGGUUGGUAGAGCAGCUGACGCUUAAUCAGCAGGGUCAUAGGUUCGAAUCCUAUCCCGCUCACCU
rnacentral:tRNA from 2 species